rnacentral:rRNA from 1 species
GACGAACGCUGGCGGCGUGCCUAAUACAUGCAAGUCGAACGGAAAGGCCCUGCUCUUGUGGCGUGCUCGUGUGGCGAACGGGUGUGUAUCACGCGUGUAACCUGUCCCUGUCUUUGGGAUAACUCCAGGAAACUCGGGCUAUUACCCGAUAGGAGCUCUUGCUGCACGGUGGGGGUUGGUAAGAUUCGGCGGUUGGGGAUGGACUCGCGGCCUAUCAGCUUGUUGGUGGGGUAGUGGCGUACCAAGGCUUCGACGGGUAGCCGGCCUGAGAGGGUGACCGGCCACAAUGGGACUGAGGUACGGCCCAGACGCCUACGGGAGGCAGCGGUGGAAAAUAUUGCGCAAUGGGCGGAAGCCUGAUGCAGCGACGCCGCGUGCGGGAUGACGGCUUUCGGGGUGUAAACCGCUUUCGACUGUAACGAAGCGUGAGUGACGGUAAUGAGUAAGAAAGCACCGGCUAACUACGUG